GUGGGGAAUAUUGGACAAUGGGCGAAAGCCUGAUCCAGCCAUGCCGCGUGUGUGAAGAAGGUCUUCGGAUUGUAAAGCACUUUAAGUUGGGAGGAAGGGCAGUAAGUUAAUACCUUGCUGUUUUGACGUUACCGACAGAAUAAGCACCGGCUAACUUCGUGCCAGCAGCAGCGGUAAUACGAAGGGUGCAAGCGUUAAUCGGAAUUACUGGGCGUAAAGCGCGCGUAGGUGGUGUUGUAAGUUGGAGUUGAAAUCCCCGGGCUCAACCUGAGAACUUCCUCCAAAACUGCAUGACUAGAGUACGGGAGAGGGUAGUGGAAUUUCCUGUUUAGCGGAGAAAUGCGUAGAUAUAGGAAGGAACACCAGUGGCGAAGGCGACUACCUGGACUGAUACUGACACUGAGGUGCGAAAGAGUGGGGAGCAAACAGGAUUAGAUACCCCAGUAGUCC
rnacentral:rRNA from 1 species